rnacentral:tRNA from 1 species
UCCCUGGUGGCUCAGAGGUUAAAGCGUCUGCCUGCAAUGUGGGAGACCUGGGUUCAAUUCCUGGGUCGGGAA